AAUGACGCUGGCUGUAUCCGACGAUGGGGUUCGAUAAGGACGGCAGCGAGGAGGAGCAGGGGCUGCUCGCGAUCCAGCCGUGCCGAGCCUGGACGCUGGAUGUCACUGCAGGACCGGGUACGCGGCGGAGCGGAGCAAGCAGGGAACAUCGUCCUGAGGGUCCCCCGCCUCCGGAGCUAGACGCAGCCGGAACGGGGUCUGAGAUGCCGGCGCUGCAUGCAAGUAACGUGGAAGUGCAAUGUAUCUUUCUCUCUUGGAAAUGAUGAAUUCCAGGACAUGGAAAACGCAACAAAACCAGCCUUGCUAUAGAAAGAAUCUCUGCGAUUACAAUUGUAAGAUACUGGGUUUUUAGGUCUCGAAGCCUUUUACAGAGCUUGCUCAGGGGGUGACUUUCUGACCAGGAAUGGAAGCAGCUGUUCCCAGUCCACUGACAGCAGGAGAAGCACAGCCUUGUGAGGAUACCCAGUCUGCUUGGAGAGUGUCUUCAGAACUGCCUGGCUUUGAGCUGAGCAUCUGCCCCAAGAGUCCUGAAAGUUGGAAGCUGUAGUCUGCUUCUCACUUAGAAAUUCAACUAAUCCUUCAUCAGCCUUUAGUCAAGCAGCAUUGUUAUAUUUCACAGCAUUCAAAUAAAAAUUUAGCCUCCAAGUCAUGUGACAGCAUUGAUGGAAGAAGGGGGAAGGGAAUGCUGCUGUUGCUCCCUGCAAUUGUCAUAAUGUAAAGAUAGUAUGGAAUAUGUUAAUAAUUUCAAAGUGGAAUAUGUUAAUAAUUUCAAAGUCUAAAUAGGGUAAAUUCUGCACAUUUCAGGUUAAUGGCUUUGAAUGUGUGAUACAAUAGAUGAUGAACUGUGGAGGUGUGUGCUGUAUGGUCAGAUGUCUACCCAAAACCAGACAGUCUUGGCAUCCAUUAUGGUACGUUGACAAAGAAAGUAAGAAAACCCAGGAAUGGGUAAAUGUGCAACAGAGCCCCUUCUGCUUGUAAUAACACCUUAGAGGGAUUAGGAGUUAAAAAAUAAAGAGGGUAGCCGCCUCAAAUUUGUUUUCCUCUGAGUGUUUUCUGAAAAUAAUGGGUUUGUUUUACUCUCUUUGAAGAAAUAACAAUGUAAACAAGGUAUUACCAAAGGUACUUGAAAUUAGUCUGACCUUCUGGUGAAGGAGUUUCAUAUUUGAGGACUGACUGGCUGUACUUUAAGUGACUAGGGAGCUUGCAUAUGUUGCUGCUGCAGUUAGCUCAGUAGCUGUUACAAAAAGUUUUCAUCUUGGCAAAGAACAACAUAAGAAUUUUUCACUUGGACAGUAAUGAAUACUAGAGCUGCCAUUUUAGCCUUGAUUAUUAUUCUCAUGGCAAGAGUAGAUGUAUCUUCAGUGCUGAGACAUCACUAGUUAUGCAAAGGCUGCAAGCCUUUGAAUCUCUCUCUAUGCCAGACUAGAAAGGGUCAGAUUUAGAAAUAAGAAGUUCAUGUAAAUUCACAGAAUAUGCUGAGUUGGAAGCGAACUUAGUAGGAACUAAAAAAAUGUGGAAGGGGGGAAACUUUUUGAGAACUUCCAAUUUCUAUCAUUCAAAUUAUUUUGACAACAGCCUGACUGGGCAGAGGAUAUGUGAAAGAAAAAAUUUCCUUUUAUAGAGGAACUUGUUUCUUGCAGAGAAUAGAUUGCAUGAUUCUUGGAAUAUUUGAAUUUCAGCAUCAGACAAAGUAUCUGAAGUUCUUUUAACUUUAGAAUGAUUUCUUCAGAAGAGCAUAGAACUUAAAAUGGUAAACCCCUGCUUUCUGUUUCCAAGAUAAGAAUGUUCAUGAAAAGCUUAUAUUAUAUAUUUAUUAGUAGAGAGUUCACAGAUGGGUUGCCUAGCUGUUCACUUUAGACACACAUUGUUGGCUUCAUGAGCUAAUAGAAAGAAAACCCUUUUUCUGCAUACCUAGUCGUCAGUGGUUAGAUUUACUAGAGAAUGAUGCACACAAUCCCCAUAUAUAAACCAGUCAAGGGAUAUUUUCUACAGGCUUAAGUGCCUCCAGUAAUUUAUUUUUUCCCCAGCCUAAGUCUAGUAACUUCAGCUUGCAUGAUUACUGAGAUUUGUGCUCUAGUUCUUGCCAUCAAUUCAUUCCUGAACUUGUAAAAUGCAAGGUCCUGGUAUGUAUUUUUCUUUCCAAUUCUUCAGUGAAUGAAGAAUUCCUUACAUUAGAAGCUAUGAUCUCUUCAAAGAUAUUCUUCACUGCAUUGGGUGAAGUAAAUACUGGAGUAUAUGAUUUGAUUUGUCAUACAUCUCUGUCUGUAAAAGAAAAAACUUCUAUGCUGCAUUUUAGGGCCAGACCAUCAGUUAGAAUAAAUGAGCAUAACUCUUGUGAUUUCACAUGAUUUCAAAUUACACAACUAGUAGUCUACAAAACAAAAAGAAACUGUUUUUUUUGCAAAUCUGUUCUACCAUCCUGAAAUAAAAUAGUAGCUGCAGAGGGUAACAUGUUGAUGAGGAGACAAAGGAAAGGCCUCUAAGUUAGAAUGGUUACCUUAGAAGAUAUCAAACUCAUCCACAAACCCAUUUUUUUUGAGUAGUAUGAGCUUUUCACUUUAAUUGGCGCUAUUAUUUGCAGACAAAUGUUGUGUUAAUGGAGGAGGGAAAAAGAUGUCAUGCAUGGUUUCAGAAGGACACAAGUAUCUUGAUAAAAGAAGGCAUAGAAGGACAGAAGCAUAAUUAAGCUGGACUGACUGUGGAGGUCAUGGUAGAAUAACAAGUAUCAAAGGAUGCAAAAGCAGAGAAGCGUUGGCAUGGAGACUGGGAGGCACUUUAGUAUUAAAUAUAGUACAUUUCAGAUGGAAACAUGGAAUAGCAGCCUGAUCACAAAUACUUCUGGAUUUUCAGUGAUUCACAUUACCCAGACCUAAAUGAAAACCUUGGUCUUCUGCUGUACUGAAUCAACAUUUUGUUUCAACUAAAUAUAAGUUUUUUAUAUCUUCAUAGGUUUUGAGGCUUGUAGUAAGUUCUGUUACAUCUUUUAUAUCACAGAACAUUGCUUUUCAUCAGGUUGUUCUUACUGGUGUCCCUUACAGUCUUUUAAAAAGGAGAUUCCUGUUUUCCCUUAAACCAUCAUAGUUGUGAUUUUGUGGUGUUAUUGUGCCAGGUUAGAAGAUGCUGUGGUUCAUCAUCCGGCUGGGAUGAUGGGAUAUUUCAGAGAUCUCUGAAGACCAGGUGUUAUGACCUGCCCCAGAAAACGAGGGUAACUCAGGUUCUUGUUAACAGAUCCCUUGGGGUGGGUUAGAGUGAAACAAAACUGAUGGAUGUUAAUAAAUAUAUUUAUGUAGGGUUUAUUUUAGAACAAAAUGGUUGAAGUGGGAAGCAGGCAUGUAGCCAUUUUGGUUACCAUUAUCUAUAGUAAUACAGCAGCAUGGAAGCAUAAAAAUAUUACAGGAAGGAAGGAACAAAGAAACAAAGGAAGGAGGAAAAACAUAUCACCACCCGUAGAUCUCACAACAAGACUUUAUUGUUGCAAUUUAGAUGUCUGUUGGCUGAAGUGAUGCUCUUAUUUCAUUGAGGGUGAUGGAAGAAGUCUGUGAAACACGAAGUCCAUUGGGUUUAUAUUAUGCUUAGGCCAGAUGGAAACAUCCUGGUACCACCCCUGGAGUGAAGAGUUUUACACUGGAUGGUGUAACACUGGAUGAGGAGACAUUUCAGGAAUCUUUGACACCUUCUAAUACAUUACAGCUGACUAUUACAUCAGCGCAGUUGAGUCAAUUAUAGCCUAUUAUGGGCCCAUAAUAGGGGAGUUAUCACAGCUGAGUUCACCUGAGUAAGGACAAAGAAACAGUACCCUGUCUCUCAGGGUUUGCCUCUUUUCUUAUCUUACUCAAAACCCGCUUUGUAGCCCAAGCUGGCACCUGUGCUCACUCUCUGCGCCUGGGCGGUUACUGUGCAUGUAGGCAUCUUGCCCCCUGAUUGUUUGAGCCAUCACCAUUCCAGUCUCUCCCACAUCCUUCUUCUUAGACCUGGGAUAAUUGGGCAAUGGUACCACCUUUAUUUGAUCUCAAGUCUCCCACCAGGGAACAGUUAUAUAAAGAAACCUGUCUUUGCCUAUACAAGGUUUAUAUACUAUGUUUUAUUGUUUCUUAACUGUAUUUUGAAAAUAGCUCUUUACAGCUCUGUUGGUUUUGAAAGCUUUGUUUUAUUAAAGAACAUACAUGAAAGAA